UAGGGAAUAUUGCUUAAUGGGCGAAAGCCUGAAGCAGCAACGCCGCGUGUGCGAUGAAGGCCUUCGGGUUGUAAAGCACUUUUCGAGGGGAUGAGGAAGGACAGUACCCUUGGAAUAAGUCUCGGCUAACUACGUGCCAGCAGCCGCGGUAAAACGUAGGAGACGAGCGUUAUCCGGAUUUACUGGGCGUAAAGCGCGUGUAGGCGGUCUGGAAAGUUGGAUGUGAAAGCUCCCGGCUUAACUGGGAGAGGUCGUUCAAAACUACCGGACUAGAGUGCGGGAGAGGGAGGUGGAAUUCCGGGUGUAGUGGUGAAAUGCGUAGAUAUCCGGAGGAACACCAGUGGCGAAAGCGGCCUUCUGGCCCGCAACUGACGCUCAGACGCGAAAGCUAGGGGAGCAAACGGG
rnacentral:rRNA from 1 species